rnacentral:lncRNA from 1 species
CCUUCACUUAUCUGUGUCAAUUUCAGUUCAUGUCCCUCUGUGGGGUAUCAGUGAACAUCCCCUCAUCCCCUCAGUUUCUCAUCUCUCCAGUUUAUCCAUGUAGGCAUCAAGUCUCCAGACAAUUACAGACAAAAAUCUGUUAAUGUUCUGUGGACAUCUCUGGGAUGGUAACAUCUGCACUGUGACUGAACUGGAUGAGAAUAUUAUAUCAAAUAUAACAUCCAUGAUACUUUCUGCUUCUCGACACACUUUCUUCAGCUAGUGUUCUGCAUCUGGUUCAUUUUGCAGAAACUGCAGCAGUACUUGACUGAAAAAGGCACCUAUAAGGAACACUCCCUGGAUGAUGAUGGAAAAGAAGGGGAGACAAAAUGCCUGCAGAGCUAUUUCCAUUUUUCGAAAGAACAAGUCUGCUGCACCUCAUGUGUGUGACAUGAAGAACAUCAGUCAUUUAGAGCCAAGCUGCAGCUGAAAAGGUCACAGUCGCAGUGUCAGCCCAGCAGAGAGUGGUGCAGCGUCAGCUGAAUGCACCGUCACAUUACACAGCCCCUCCAGAAGGUACUUUGAUUACUUUGGUUUUAUUUUAAAGGCUGUUAAACCAAACGCAACUGUCUGCAGGAUGCUGUCUCUGCUCUGGGAAAAAGGAGUCUGCAUUCGUGUUGUGUGUAGGGAGAGAUAAUGUUCGGUGGG